AGAGUGUGCACUAUCAUCGUAACAGCAGAGACGGAGAGCAAGAUGUGAGGAGGUUAAAAGUCAGGGUCAGAAGUUCAGGUUGCUCUGACCCUCAAAUCAAUUUCAAGCACUGUUUGUGACAUUUUCCUGUGUUCCCUCGCUUGAUGUUAGUCUUUGCAAUGAACCACCGAAUCAGACUUCAGGGCUCAUGGGACUUUGGGGUUUCAGUAGGGUCAGGUCAAUUUCUACCUACCAGUGUACUGUCACCUAUGAGGCAAACCAUUAUCUAGGCGUUUGAGAACCUCAAAGUUUUGAAGCUCUGAGGGGAAAGAGAGAGGAUGAAGCGCUGGGGCCCCUGUGUCUUUGGGGCCUGACAUAGCUCAACCUGUGGCUUCAGGGGGACCGUGUGCAGCCAGGUCACAGUGGUACCGGAAAGGGAUCCUGAUCCAGACCCCAAGAGAGGGUUCUUGGAUCUCGUGCAAGAAAAAAUUCAGGAAUGCCUGACCUCCUCGGAAUGCACCUGAGUAGGACUCAGCCUCAUUUUGCCUAGCCCCUGCUCAAGAUAGAGUCACUCUGGUUGGAAGGCCUUUGGCAAUAGGAUUGGCAACUCAGAGAAAGCUGGUCCCUGGCAUGGGCAUCUCUCCCAAGGCAUUCUUCCAAAGGAUGAAUGUUGAUAAGACCUGUCCUCAGCAAUCCUCUCUUUCAAUUUUCUGGAUGAUCUCAACCAUGAUCACAACUCUGUGUAAUGCCCCAGAGCCUAUUUCUGUAAUCUCCGUCUCCAUCUGAGAAGGCCACCCUGAGUUCCAGUUACAUGCUCCAACUCCACCAGACUUCUCCAAUGGGGCGUCUCAGGCACUCCCAUCUUAGCGUUUCUAAGCCUGAACUCAUGAUCUUUCUCCUCAAACUGGUUGUUCACCAUGCUUUACUCCCACAUUUUGUUUAGUGAUAUCUUGCAAGCCACAGACUUCACAGUCAUAUUAGAAUGCUACCUUUCCCUAACUUCCAACAGAUACUCUCAGCUGAUGGCACUAAGGCUGAACCCAGAAGCUGCAGCAGUGGACGGAUGAUGAUCUGAAGAAAUGAGAUCCCUGAUGGGCUUGGAAGUCAUGGUUCCUGUAACCAUGAUGUCACACCCUCGUCCUGACACCGAGAUGGGCUGGACACAUCUGUCACCCAGGGCAAACAAAAUGCUUGGUCUGCAUCUUUCAGAAGAAAACUAAAAAUCAAGUAAUUUCUUAGAAGUUUGCUUGCGUGUGGCUUAAGUCUUCUUCUCCUGUUGAGGAAGGUGUUGAGUUUGACCAUGACAGCCCCACCCAGUCCUUGGCUCAUCUCACCCAUCAAAGAGGAUCUGGAGAUUCAGAGCUAUGCCGUGGAAGACCUUGUCAGAGCACCAGGCCAUACUGUGCUGCAGGUGGGGUUCAGGUGCCCAGUGACAACCACCGGGGCCGCUCAUCCCUAAACGUCUGUUGAACUUAAAGUUCUACUCAAGACUUUCUACAUUAAAUACCCUUUCAUACAGCAAAAUCAGCCAUGUUCUGAGAUGUGAAACUGCAGCACAAAGUUACUGUGGUCUCCACCUAUAGAAAUGGAAUGUUACUUCAUAAAGCCCCAGGCCAAAAAAGAAACCCCAAAACUCUGAAACGACACCCUUAAAUUUAACCUGAACAUCUGGCCAGCCUCCUCCAUCAUUGAAACUUCUCCUGAGUGUUGGCAUGGAUCCUAUGUUUCUCCAGCCAGGGAGCUUUGCUCCCCAUUCUUGAUGGACCCACUGAGUCCCAAUUUUCUACAUUUUACUUGGGUCAUUCCACCACUUUGGGAUGCUUUUCCUACUCUGUUGUACUUUAAAAAUGUUUCUUCUUUCCUAUUCUCAGCUUCACGCAUUUGUCUUCUUUCUCAAUUCAACUUGCUUAGUUCUCGCUACAUCAAUUCCUAGAGCCAUCCAUCUGCACUUCUGAAUCAUUUAAGUUUUGUUUGGCUACAAGUAAUGGAAACCCACUCUGAGUAACUCAAGCAAGAACUGGAAUUUAUUGGAAGGACAGUGGGAUAUAUCAUAAGAUCCAAAAAGAAUUGAACAAAUAAAAUUUCAGAGGGAAGAAAAAGGGCAGCUCCAGUGACUUCAGCAACAAGACAACAUAAGUCUUUCUAGAGCAUAGCUACUAAUAUUAUUCAGCUGCAAGAGCCCCUCCCCAUGAGAAACUUGAUUGAAAAUUCUGAUUUCCCACAGAGAAGAAUCUGAUCGACUCAGUUUAGCUUUGGUUGCCCAACUGCUCAAUCUUGCAUGAAUUAUUUCCAGCCAAGGGGACAAGGUGUAUUAUAGGGACACACCUGCUUUCUCCAAAGAAAAGAUCUGGGCAUUUCCUGAUCAUUUCCCUGAGAAGGAGGAAUCAUUGUGAGCCAAGAAGAUACCUCAAGUAUAAUGAGCUCAGUUACACUUUUUUGAUAUCUGAGUAUUUGGUAUGUAGUGUGCAUUUUAAAAAACAUGUCUCUCUCCAGGACAAUGUUAACCUCUUCCACGGUGGAGUGGGGCUAUGUGAUUUUGUGCUUAAUUUACCUAGCUGGUGGGCCUCCAGUAGAGGCUGUAGUCGAGCCAGCUGAUACCACAUCAGUUCUCCAAAGGAACAAAAGCUGCCCUUCCUUCCUUAUUGCAAAGUUUGACAAAAAGCAAAACGUGAAGAAUAAAAGCGACUUGCAUUGUCUAACAUCUACCGCAGUGUUUGAGCUGCAGCUGCUCCUCCUCCCCUGAUUGUUUUCAAAUAUUUCUUCAAAAAAGGCAUUAAAGAAAAACACAAGAUAUUGCACAGGGAACCAAAACAAAUCACAAUCUUCAAGGACAAAGCAUUGCAAAAUGGCUUACAUCCCCAAAUGGGAACAGAUAUGGUUGGAAAUUAAAACAAUCUUUUUUAUUUUAAGCGGAAAUGCUAGCAGAUGCCACAAGAAACAUAUGGAACUCGCCACAGACAAAUAGGGAAUGCUUUCUGCGUGUGGAAGUAGAGCAAAGGGAGUGACCACCUCUGACUGUCAGGGGGAACCAUCAGCUCGAACUGUUUGCUAUGGCAGGAGGGAGUUUGCAGAGUCCGGAGUCCUGCCCUCAUGAAAAAGCUUUAACGGUCUUGACUGAGUAAUUUAAGUCAUUCUUGUCAGGGAGUUUCAGAACACUAUGCACAAUUAUAUUUAUUUCACAAUGCAUUGAUUCCAGAUAUCUUUUUAAAUGUGCUUACCUCUGUGUGCGUUGUUACCUGUUCCCUCUUUGAAUCUCUGAAUGAAACAAAAUAAAUAGGAAAAAAUGGAGACAUAGAAGCAUUGUCCACAAGGCAUCUCCCACUCUAGAGGUCUCCCAGCCCCGUGCUAGCUUGUUAAUUUAUUAUCGCUUGUCUGUCAAACAAGGAAGAUAUAAUUUGCCACACAACAUGUUUUCCUAAAGCAAUGUUUUUGUACAAUUUCCUGAUUUCCAAAAAUAUGACCAAUGAUAUUCUGGUUGA
ensembl:lncRNA LINC00838 long intergenic non-protein coding RNA 838